rnacentral:lncRNA from 1 species
GACGCCGGUGGCGGAGAUGUCGGGGUCAAAACCAUGUGAGAGAGAGUGAGAAAGAGAGAGAACCGAAAGAGAUGGAGAGAGAGAGAGAACUUACCGAGAUUCGGCGGCGGUAGGGUCAAGGGCAGCUGGGCCGGAGGCGGUCAGAUCCGGCGAGCUCGAGGCCGACGGCAACCGGAUCCGGCGUGGGGCGACGGCGGCGGCUGCGCCCCUGGACGGUAGCAGGGCCACCUUUCCGGUGUGGGACGGCUGCGGCCGAGGCGUUGGACGACGGAGGAGAGGAGGUGCUGGACGGCGGAGGAGAGAGGUAGAUGUGGGUCGCAGGGGAGGGGAGGAGGCGCUGGGCGCUAGGGAAGAGGUCAGGGAGGAGGAGAGCAGCUCGGAUUCUUAGAGGGAGGGAGGGUGGCGGCUGGGAUUGGGAGCAGAUCGAGGCAGAGGAGAGGAGAGGAGGAGGAUAUCGUGGGGGAGAAGAGGACUGGAGGAGGAAGAGGGGUCGUGGGGAGAAGAUAGGAUAUGAAGGAAAUAGG